CUGCCUUGGUCUGUUAGUGAGAUCUCAGAUCAUUCUUUGGGACAUCUCAAUUGAUCACUAUAUCAGAGAACGUGAUAUUACGAACAGUGGACCUUGACAUCACUGAAGGAAUUGGGACAGAGUAAUCAGAAAGAAGAAAUCAAUAUAAACACACCAGUAGCUUAGUAAUCAAUUAUGGAAAUUCUUCAAUAGUUCAAUAACUUGGCAUUAGAACAUGGAGACAGCAAGAACUUCACCUGUUAAGGGGAAAUAAACAGCAAUGGGGCAAGAAAUGCAGAGAGAGUGUGCCAAGGCUGGCUGGUCACUGGUUAACUCUGUCAUUGCCCAGGAGAAAACAGGACUACAGUGACUGAAGUCAAGUCAGGCCUGCCAAGAUCAUCUCUUGUGCAACUAAAAGCUUGAGGUACAGGGACUCAGCAUGACCUCGGGGGACAGGAGAGACUGAAAAAUAAGACCCUGGGCAGCAUUCUGCAGUUAUGAACUGGAGACAGUCACUAUACAGGAG